GGGUAGAGAAGAGAUUUGGGUUAGAUUCUAUUGGCGAUAGCUCGAUAGUCAGGAGAGAUAGAACGGUGGGAAUAGUGUGGGUAGUUAGGGUAUUUAUCUGACUAUCUUGUGUCAAAAUUUCAAAGCUCUGACUAUUUUGGAAGUGUGAGAAAAAAGGACAAAUGUGAAAAGAUGUCAGAUCAGUUUGGCGAAAAAUUGAGUUGUGUCCAAUAGUAAUUCCUUGAGAAAAGUGGCGAUGGUAGGAUAGUCAGGAGAGAUAGAACGGUGGGAAUAGUGUUGGUAGUUAGGGUAUUUAUCUGACUAUCUUGUGUCAAAAUUUCAAAGCUCUGACUAUUUUAGAAGUGUGAGAAAAAAGGACAAAUGUGAAAAGAUGUCAGAUCAAUUUGGCGAAAAAUAAUUCCUGGAGAAAAGAAGCGAUGGUAGAAUAGUCAUGAGGGACAGAGAGGUGGGGAUAGUGUGGGUAGUUAGACUAUUUAUUUGACUAUCCUCUGUCAAAAUUUCGUCAUCCUAAUGUAUCGGGAAGUAUACGAAAAAAGCAAUAAUGUGAAAAGAUGUCAGAUCAAUUUGGCGAAAAAUAAUUCCUGGAGAAAAGAAGCGAUGGUAGGAUAGUCAUGAGGGACAGAGAGGUGGGGAUAGUGUGGGUAGUUAGACUAUUUAUUUGACUAUCUUCUGUCAAAAUUUCGUCAUCCUAAUGUAUCGGGAAGCAUACGAAAAAAGCAAUAAUGUCAGAUCAAUUUGGCGAAAAAUAAUUCCUGGAGAAAAGAAGCGAUGGUUGGAUAGUCACGAGGGACAGAGAGGUGGGGAUAGUGUGGGUAGUUAGACUAUUUAUUUGACUAUCUUCUGUCAAAAUUUCGUCAUCCUAAUGUAUCGGGAAGUAUACGAAAAAAGCAAUAAUGUGAAAAGAUGUCAGAUCAAUUUGGCGAAAAAUAAUUCCUGGAGAAAAGAAGCGAUGGUUGGAUAGUCAUGAGGGACAGAGAGGUGGGGAUAGUGUGGGUAGUUAGACUAUUUAUUUGACUAUCUUCUGUCAAAAUUUCGUCAUCCUAAUGUAUCGGGAAGUAUACGAAAAAAGCAAUAAUGUCAAAAGAUGUCAGAUCAAUUUGGCGAAAAAUAAUUCCUGGAGAAAAGAAGCGAUGGUAGGAUAGUCAUGAGGGACAGAGAGGUGGGAAUAGUGUGAGUAGUUAGAGUAUUUAUUUGACUAUCUUCUGUCAAAAUUUCGUCAUCCUAAUGUAUCAGGAAGUAUACGAAAAAAGCAAUAAUGUCAAAAGAUGUCAGAUCAAUUUGGCGAAAAAUAAUUCCUGGAGAAAAGAAGCGAUGGUAGAAUAGUCAUGAGGGACAGAGAGGUGGGGAUAGUGUGGGUAGUUAGACUAUUUAUUUGACUAUCUUCUGUCAAAAUUUCGUCAUCCUAAUGUAUCGGGAAGUAUACGAAAAAAGCAAUAAUGUCAAAAGAAACGAUCCUCGCUGCCACCACCGGGUUAAGGAGUAAUUGUGUGAGGGGUUAUUCCUGCCCACACUCAGAAUACUACACUUCCCGACACUGAAUUCCAUCUGGCAACACUCAUGGUAGCCCUUAAUAGCCCUCGUGGCCUUGGGUGAUGUGCGUGACGCCGCCUGCAAUGUUUUGGGUGUAAGGACCCGGCGCAGGGAAGGCUUGGGAGGUGACGGAGAGGGUCCCCUUAAUGCCGGGUGCUAUUGUGGAGACCUGCCCAGACUACUACGACUACUACUACUACUACUACUACUACUACUACUACUACUACUACUACUACUGCUACUACUACUACUAC